AUCCAUCCGACGAGUCCCAAAUAGGACGAAAUGCGCGUCCUUGAU
rfam:Schistosoma rodhaini strain Burundi genome assembly, scaffold: SROB_scaffold0002378